CUCACCGGAUAUGGAAAAUUUGAUUUAAUAUAUUAACAGGAGCAACAAGAACUUGUUUUAAUGCUUUUUUUCUUCCCUCUCUCUGAGAAUUUAGCCUUUCUUGAGGCCAUUGGGCUAUUUCCUUUCCAAGGCUGGAAAAGACUGAUUAUAGUUCAUGUCUGCAGCAAAGUCUCCCCCAAGCCCAUUGCAGUUGGAAGCAGCCCAAAACAAUGCAUGUUAAUCUUUUGUUACCCUACGGAAUCAAGGACUUUUCUUGGUCAUGUAUGUGGGCCAAGGCAGGCCACUGGAAAUUGCUGAUCAUUCUUGCUUCUCAUCAUUUGGAUCCCAAAGUCGUUGACUUAAAAUGGGUGGCUGAGGUUUUAGUGAAACUGGGUUUUACUCAUAGUGCCCCUUCCUUGAGGUACUAUUUCUUCCAUUCUUUUCCUUUCUAACAAAUACAUCCAUUGGCCAUGCUAAGUUUAUUUGCAUCCUGGCAAGUCUUGGAGAGUCAGUUUAGUUAAAGUGAUGAUUGUAUUUUAUUUGCCUUUGGAGAAGAGGCUUAUCAUCUAAGUAAAGUUCUUAUGUAAAGGUGUGUUUUAUGCAAAAAAAAAAAAAUCCACAAAAACAGAUUCUAAAUUUGGUAAGAUAGUCCCAGAGUAGGGGGAUGUAUUCUCAGUUAAUAUUAAGGGAUGUGUUGAAAAGGCAAGUGCCCUCCCUUUCUGUAUUCCCCAGCCCACCCUUCCUUCCUCCCUAACCUCAAAAGAAAACAGAAAAUUAUUUUUUUAAAUUGUAUUAAUAAUUUAUGUUUAAUACAAAAGGAUGAUUUAAUGGUAUCACCAAAGGUCAUUCUCCCAUUGUGCAUGUCCUUCACUCUUGGCCCUGUACCCAUCACCCCGUUCUUCACCCUCACACUUCCAUCCCAAGGCAACGUGUCUUCAUUGGAAUCUAUCAGUGUUGGAGUUCAAUGUGGGGACGGAGGUUUAACACCAUGACACUAAUGGAAACCAACCAUUCUUCACUUUCAAAUGGUUAAUUACUCCAAGAAGGCAAACUCUUUUCUUGGUUUUUGCUUAAAAACAUUUUAUACAUAUAUAUGUAUAUAUGUGUGUGUAUGUAUGGACAUAUGUAUGUAUAUGCACAUGUACAUGUAUAUAUGUAUAUAUCCAUCUCCAAUAUAAAUAUAGCAUAUGUGAGAGUUGUAAAUACUCCUUGGUCAUACUUCUGUCUUCCUCAUGCUAUCAUAUCUUCUGUGUUAUGUUAACAACUCCAUUUAUUGACUGAUGAAAUCGUGUGUAGACCUGUAUCCUCCUGACAUAGUUUAUGUAGGGUAUCUUCUCAAAUAAAGUAUAAAACAUC